UAUGCAAGUUAAGUGAAACACGGAAUCAAGCGUAUUUCAUUCCAUGUUAUGCAAGAUAAGUGAAACACAGACUCAAGCGUGUUUCACUCCAUGUUAAGACAAGAUAAACAAGUUAUUAUGCAUUCGUGUUACAUAUUUGCCAUAAUUAUAUAUGCUUCCGCUCAUGUUAAUGAUGAAUACGUAUGCUAUAUGAAUCUGUGAUGAUAUAUGUAUGUAAAGUCUUUCAGAAAGUCAUGUUACGUGUAUGAUUGCAAAUCUAUGAAGCUGUAUGUAUGUUACGAAGAGUAUCAUUGUAAUGAAAUAUAUGA